rfam:Salmo salar isolate Sally breed double haploid chromosome ssa28, whole genome shotgun sequence.
CUAAUGCCAUGGUGUAAGUCGCUCUGGAUAAGAGCGUCUGCUAAAUGACUAAAA